UACGGGGGGUGCAAGCGUUGUUCGGAAUCAUUGGGCGUAAAGCGCGCGCAGGCGGCUUGGUAAGUCAGAUGUGAAAGCCCUGGGCUUAACCCAGGAAGUGCAUUUGAUACUGCCUCGCUAGAGUACGGGAGAGGAAAGUGGAAUUCCUGGUGUAGAGGUGAAAUUCGUAGAUAUCAGGAGGAACACCGGUGGCGAAGGCGACUUUCUGGCCCGAUACUGACGCUCAGGCGCGAAAGCGUGGGGAG
rnacentral:rRNA from 1 species